UGCGCGGGUUGCCAUGACGACUCAAGCCUGGCACGUCUUUCGCUCUGCGUGACGGGGAAGGUGCUCCCCGACUCAGCCUGAGCGCUGCCACUAACGCGGGCGGAAGCCGUCAGAACAAACAGUGACAGCGGGAAAAAGACUAAGAAACAUCGACCUUUAACCGGGUCCCCUGUUGAAAUUAAGGCAGUUCUGUUCGAAUAAAGCAUUAUAGUUAAGUUUAUACACAAGACAGAAGCCGUGUGAAUUUCGGCAUCACGUGUGCCAUAUUUUCCCGUCCUUGCUGGAUGCUCGGAUCCAGGCACAGAGCAGCAUGAAGAACAGAGCGAGCAGACACGUCUUCCAACCCUUGAGUAGACCCCCGCCUCCCCGUCGCCCGCCGGGCUCCAAGUCUGGGCCCGCUACACCGAGAGGGAAUUUACAUUUUAAUAGGCAGCGCCGCUCGCUGCCUCCGAAUGAGAGUGCACGCUCAGCUGAACCGCGGGAAACGCAUCCACAGUAGAAGUUUAGAACGACCCCCAAGACAAUUGACAUGCGAUACCCUUGUGAGGACCAAUUGCUUUGGAAAAUUUGAGGAAAAGGGCUCUUUUUAUUUUUUUUUUUGCAUUGAGCCAUUUUCUUUUUCUGCAUGUUGUGUAAUAUAAAUGAUGUUUAUGAUCUAUAUUUGUCAUAAAUGUAUAUCGUACGCAAAACAUGGGCACGUGAUAUUUGAGCUGUGAUCUAUAUUUAAAGUUCAGUUAUAGUUGUAAAUAAAGCAAAAAAAAAUAAAUGCUGCUACAAUUGUAGAA